GAGUUUGAUCCUGGCUCAGGACGAACGCUGGCGGCGUGCCUAAUACAUGCAAGUCGAACGCUUUUUUCAAUCAUCGUAGCUUGCUACACCGAUUGAAAAUUGAGUGGCGAACGGGUGAGUAACACGUGGGUAACCUGCCCAGAAGAGGGGGAUAACACUUGGAAACAGGUGCUAAUACCGCAUAACCAUGAUGACCGCAUGGUCAUUAUGUAAAAGAUGGUUUCGGCUAUCACUUUUGGAUGGACCCGCGGCGUAUUAACUUGUUGGUGGGGUAACGGCCUACCAAGGUAAUGAUACGUAGCCGAACUGAGAGGUUGAUUGGCCACAUUGGGACUGAGACACGGCCCAAACUCCUACGGGAGGCAGCAGUAGGGAAUCUUCCACAAUGGGCGCAAGCCUGAUGGAGCAACGCCGCGUGAGUGAAGAAGGCCUUCGG
rnacentral:rRNA from 1 species